rnacentral:rRNA from 1 species
UACGUAGGGGGCUAGCGUUGUCCGGAAUCAUUGGGCGUAAAGCGCGUGUAGGCGGCCCGGUAAGUCCGCUGUGAAAGUCGGGGGCUCAACCCUCGGAUGCCGGUGGAUACUGUCGGGCUCGAGUACGGAAGAGGCGAGUGGAAUUCCUGGUGUAGCGGUGAAAUGCGCAGAUAUCAGGAGGAACACCGAUUGCGAAGGCAGCUCGCUGGAACGUUACUGACGCUGAGACGCGAAAGCGUGGGGAGCGAACAGG